GGAGCGAUCGCCUAGUCCGGUCGAGGGCGCCGCACUGGAAAUGCGGUAUCCGGGGCAACUCGGAUCGAGGGUUCGAAUCCCUCUCGCUCCG
rnacentral:tRNA from 1 species